rnacentral:rRNA from 1 species
UACGUAGGGUGCAAGCGUUGUCCGGAAUUAUUGGGCGUAAAGAGCUCGUAGGCGGUCUGUCGCGUCUGCUGUGAAAACUCGGGGCUUAACCCCGGGCCUGCAGUGGGUACGGGCAGACUAGAGUGCGGUAGGGGAGACUGGAAUUCCUGGUGUAGCGGUGAAAUGCGCAGAUAUCAGGAGGAACACCGGUGGCGAAGGCGGCUCUCUGGGACGGUACUGACGCUGAGACGCGAAAGCGUGGGGAGCAAACAGG